rnacentral:rRNA from 1 species
UACAGUGGGGGCAAGCGUUGUUCGGAAUCACUGGGCGUAAAGCGUCCGCAGGUGGGUGUGUGUGUCGGAUGUGAAAGCCCAGGGCUCAACCCUGGAACUGCAUUCGAAACUGCACAUCUUGAGUACGGGAGAGGGAAGCAGAAUUCCUGGUGUAGAGGUGAAAUUCGUAGAUAUCAGGAGGAAUACCUGUGGCGAAAGCGGCUUCCUGGUCCGAUACUGACACUCAUGGACGAAAGCGUGGGGAGCAAACAGG